rnacentral:tRNA from 1 species
GGCUGGAUAGCUCAGUCAGUAGAGCAUCAGACUUUUAAUCUGAGGGUCCAGGGUCCAUGUCCCUGUUUGGGCA